GUCUUCGUGGCUCAGUUGGCUAGAGCGUUGGUCUCAUAUUCGUAUGAUUCGGUUUCAUAAACCGGGCUAUCCAAAGGUCGUGAGUUCGAGCCUCACCGAGGACA